CACGGUAUAUAUAGCUUGUGUCAAUCGUCAUCGGAGCAACCACGUGGAUAGUCGGGGAAUUUGGUUAAUUUUCCAGUUUGAAAGCAAACAAAAAAUCAAGUACCACGUGUUAGCGCAUAAAACUUUAGUGACUAAGAGUCAUGUUUUCAUCGAACCCACCUCAUCUGAAGAUCUCCUGGCGCCCUAAAUUUAGAAAACAGAGGAUUAAUAUAUGUAUCAAGCUGGAGGCUUUAAAAAAGAAUUUCUAGAAGCGUUCUUGCAAUUUAUGCAAACUAUAAAGUGAAUAAUUGAAGGUAUUCUAACAAUACAAUACAUUGUAUUAAUUGAAGAAAUACUAAGAACAACCAGUGACCAGAGGAAUAUCAGUAUAUGUGAACCAGAUAUUGAAAAUUUCUCACCACAACUGAUAUUUAAAAUAAUA